AGAGUUUGAUCAUGGCUCAGGAUGAACGCUAGCUACAGGCUUAACACAUGCAAGUCGAGGGGCAGCAUUAGAUUAGCUUGCUAAUUAGAUGGCGACCGGCGCACGGGUGAGUAACGCGUAUCCAACCUUCCCCCUGCUCAGGGAUAGCCCGGUGAAAACCGGAUUAAGACCUGAUAGUUUCACUAGAUGGCAUCUGACGGUGAAUAAAGGUUUCGGCAAGGGAUGGGGAUGCGUCUGAUUAGCUUGUUGGCGGGGUAACGGCCCACCAAGGCGACGAUCAGUAGGGGUUCUGAGAGGAAGGUCCCCCACAUUGGAACUGAGACACGGUCCAAACUCCUAAACGGGAGGCAGCAGUGAGGAAUAUUGGUCAAUGGGCGGAAGCCUGAACCAGCCAAGUAGCCGUGCAGGAAGACGGCCCUAUGGGUUGUAAACUGCUUUUGUGCGGGAAUAAAGUCAGGGACGCGUCCCUGUUUGCAUGUACCGCAAGAAUAAGGACCGGCUAAUUCCGUGCCAGCCGCGGC
rnacentral:rRNA from 1 species